rnacentral:rRNA from 1 species
AUUGAACGCUGGCGGCAUGCUUUACACAUGCAAGUCGAACGGUAACAGGGAGCUUGCUCCGCUGACGAGUGGCGAACGGGUGAGUAAUGCAUCGGAACGUACCCAGUCGUGGGGGAUAACGUAGCGAAAGUUACGCUAAUACCGCAUACGUCCUGAGGGAGAAAGCGGGGGACCGUAAGGCCUCGCGCGAUUGGAGCGGCCGAUGUCGGAUUAGCUAGUUGGUAGGGUAAAGGCCUACCAAGGCGACGAUCCGUAGCGGGUCUGAGAGGAUGAUCAGCCACACUGGAACUGAGACACGGUCCAGACUCCUACGGGAGGCAGCAGUAGGGAAUAUUGGACAAUGGGCGCAAGCCUGAUCCAGCCAUGCCGCGUGAGUGAAGAAGGCCCUCGGGUUGUAAAGCUCUUUUGUCCGGAAAGAAAAGCACUGGGUUAAUACCCCGGUGUCCUGACGGUACCGGAAGAAUAAGCACCGGCUAACUUCGUGCCAGCAGCCGCG